rnacentral:rRNA from 1 species
GCACAUGGCGGAUGUCUUGGCGUCAAGAGGCGAUGAAGGACGUGGGAACCUGCGAAAAGUUCAGGGGAGCCGGUAACCAGGCUGUGAUCCUGAAAUGUCCGAAUGGGGAAACCCGGCCGAAAGGUCACUCUUAUCUGAAUGCAUAGGGUAAGAGAGCGAACCUGGGGAACUGAAACAUCUAAGUACCCAGAGGAAAGGAAAUCAACCGAGACUCCGUGAGUAGCGGCGAGCGAAAGCGGAUAGUGACUUAGUCCAGUGAACGCGUUGGAAAGCGCGGCCAAAGAAGGUGAUAGCCCUGUAGUUUGAUGAUGUCACACAGCCCUAGAGUAGCGUCGGUGUCGUGAAACCCGGCGUGAACAUGGGGGGUCCACCCUCCAAGGCUAAGUACUACUUGACGACCGAUAGUUAACCAGUAAGGCGACUGAAUGAUGAAAACUACCCCUGCUAGGGGUGUGAAAUAGUAGCUGAAACCAUGUGCUUACACAGCGGUCAGAGCCCUUCGGGGUGAUGGCGUGCCUUUUGCAUAAUGACCCGGCGAGUUACUCUCAUUGGCGAGGUUAAGGCCUAGCGGGCCGAAGCCGAAGCGAAAGCGAGUCUGAAAUAGGCGUUAAGUCGAUGGGAGUAGACGCGAAACCUUGUGAUCUACCCAUGGGCAGGCUGAAGGUCGGGUAAAACCGACUGGAGGGCCGAACGCACCAACGUUGAAAAGUUGGGCGAUGACCUGUGGGGAGGACUAAAAGUGUAAUCAAACUGGGAGAUAGCUCGUUCUCUCCGAAAUAUUUUUAGGAAUAGCCUCUUGCGGCAACUGUUGGGGGUAGAGCCACUGGAUACGGCUGGGGCCUUCGGGUACCCACUGUAACCAAACUCCGAAUACCAACAGCCAAGGCAAGGGAGUCAGCCCACGAGUGACAAUAUCCGUGGACAAAAGGGAAACAUCCCAGACCGCCAGCUAAGGUCCCUAAACAUUGCUUAGUUCUUAAGGAAGUCGAAGCGCGAUGACAGCCAGGAUGUUGGCUUAGAAGCAGCCACCAUUUAAAGAGUGCGUAAUAGCUCACUGGUCGAGGGUUUCGGCGCCGAUAAUGAUCGGGAAUAAGCAUUGUACCGAAGCUGCGGGCUGCGUAAGCAGCGGUAGGAGAGCGUUCCUGUCAGCAGAGAAGGCGUCCCGAAAGGGUCGCUGGAGCGUCAGGAAGUGAAUAUGCCGGGUUGAGUAACGAUAAAGCAGGUGAAAAUCCUGCUCGCCGAAAAUCUAAGGUUUCCUGGGGAAGGUAAAUCCGCCCAGGGUCAGCCGGGACCUAAGGUGAGGCCGAAAGGCGUAGCCGAUGGACGGCAGGUUAAUAUUCCUGCGCUACUGUGGAGAUCAAUCCGAAGUGCGGAUCGGUCAGCCCUGCGUAAGCACCAGCUUGCUGAGGCCCUUGAGGCCGCUGCAGGGGGCCCCGGUCCCGAGAAAAGCUUCGGUGGCAAAGCAGUACCCGUACCAAAACUGACACAGGUAGAUGAGGUGAAUAACCUAAGGCGCUCGAGAUAACGGAAGUGAAGGAAUUAGGCAAAUUGACCCCGUAAGUUCGCGAUAAGGGGGCCCUACCCCUCGGGGAGGGCGCAGAGAAAAGGCUCUGGCGACUGUUUAUCAAAAACACAGCACUCUGCAAA